UCCCCGUUAUACGGGGCAGUCUCUCUAGAGUGCUCAGCGCCUUACGGCCUGGUGGCAACUAAAGAUAAGGGUUGCGCUCGUUGCGGGACUUAACCCAACAUCUCACGACACGAGCUGACGACAGCCAUGCAGCACCUGUGUAAGCUUACUGUAUUACUACAGCAUCGUCGGCCUUUCAGCUUUCUACUACCUACAUGUCAAACCCUGGUAAGGUUCUUCGCGUUGCGUCGAAUUGAACCACAUGCUCCACCGCUUGUGCGGGCCCCCGUCAAUUCUUUUGAGUUUCAGUCUUGCGACCGUACUCCCCAGGCGGGAUACUUAAUGCGUUUGCUGCGGCACGGAAGGGGUCGAUACCUCCCACACCUAGUAUCCAACGUUUACGGCUAGGACUAC
rnacentral:misc_RNA from 1 species